CAGCAACCCCGCUGACCUCUUCCACUGGCUGCCCAAGGAGCACAUGUGUGUGCUUGUCUACCUGGUGACCGUGAUGCACUCCAUGCAGGCCGGCUACCUGGAGAAGGCGCAGAAGUACACGGACAAGGCCCUCAUGCAGCUGGAGAAGCUCAAGAUGCUGGACUGCAGCCCCAUCUUGUCAUCCUUCCAAGUGAUCCUGCUGGAGCACAUCAUCAUGUGUCGCCUUGUCACAGGUCACAAGGCCACGGCACUGCAGGAGAUCUCCCAGGUCUGCCAGCUGUGCCAGCAAUCCCCCCGGCUCUUCUCCAACCAUGCAGCACAGCUGCACACAUUGCUGGUGAGUAACCCUGUGACAGCACCCCAGGAGAAUCCAGAAUGUUCUCAGUAAGUAAGUACCUAACCAGAUCCAGAACAUUCCCAGUGAAGAACCCUCUGACAGCACCCUAAUCAGAAUCCGGAAUGUUCCCAUAGGUAAUCAUAUAACCUUCCCAGGCAAGAUGCAGAAUGCUUCCAGUGAGCAUCUUGUCCCACCCCACAUUGGCUUGGGUUUGAAAGGUGGGGACAGUGAGCAUAUUACCUGCCUUGCAGCUGGCUUGGUAGAGCCAUUGUCGUACUCCUCCAGGGCAGCCGUGUAGGCCCUGGGCGCACCACAUGUGUCUCUGAUCUGAGCCCCCUCCCCAGAGGCCAGCCCUGAUGACAACACCACCUUCUUCCAGGGCCUGUACUGUGUCUCUGUCAACUGCAUGGACAACGCGGAAGCCCAGUUCACCACAGCUCUGCGGCUCACCAACCACCAGGAGCUGUGGGCCUUCAUCGUCACCAACCUGGCGAGUGUGUAUAUACGGGAAGGAAAUAGACACCAAGAGCUCUACAGUCUGUUGGAGAGGAUCAACCCGGACCACAGCUUCCCUGUCAGCUCGCACUGCCUCCGAGCAGCUGCCUUCUACGUGCGUGGGCUCUUCUCCUUCUUCCAGGGACGCUACAACGAGGCCAAGCGAUUUCUGCGGGAAACUCUGAAGAUGUCCAAUGCUGAGGACCUGAACCGGCUCACAGCCUGCUCCCUCGUGCUCCUGGGCCACAUCUUCUAUGUGCUGGGAAACCACAGGGAGAGUAACAACAUGGUGGUGCCCGCCAUGCAGCUCGCCAGCAAGAUCCCGGACAUGUCGGUACAGCUGUGGUCGUCAGCACUGCUGAGAGACCUGAAUAAAGCCUGUGGGAACGCCAUGGACGCCCAUGAAGCUGCCCAGAUGCACCAGAACUUCUCGCAGCAGCUGCUCCAGGACCACAUUGAGGCCUGCAGCCUCCCCGAACACAACCUCAUCACGUGGACAGACGGUCCACCCCCCGUGCAGUUCCAAGCUCAGAAUGGACCCAACACCAGCCUGGCCAGCCUCCUGUGAGGCCUUGAUGGGGCCAUCCAGCUCCGCAGGGCCUGCGCGUCUCCGGCUUCCACCCAGACGGCACUCAAGCCUGCCUUCGAGGCGUGCUUCCUUCCUGAUUGUCUCUAGAGCUUCCAAGUCCUGGGAAUGUGCGGGGCCAGUCCCUGCCCUCCCAGGAGGGGUGGCAGCCGUUCACACCUCGCACCAGGACCCCCAGUGCAGAGGCUCACAGGUGGCACACAGGCACUGUCUCUCCAGAGCCAUCCUUCAGAGUGGACCUCAGUGCCAGUCCUGCCUUGGCAUCUGGGUCACGUCAGCCAGGAGUAGGGUGCAGGCCUCCAGCAGGUCCUAAUCCUGUGUGCCAGGGCAGGCGGUGCCCCAGGGGCACCACGCCUGACUCUCCAUCACCCAGGCCUUGAUGCCGAGCGGGAGUAGAGUGUUUCCUCUGCUCAAGGCAAUUUCUAGAGCCCGGAUGCCAGUUUCUGGCCUGAAUUUGGAGGGAAGAAGUAAUGGCCCGCGUGCGGGACGAAGCACAGAUCCCAGCACUUUUCCCAGCUUUCUCUCCAGCGUCAGUCCCUGCAGCAGCCGGGACCUCUGGUCAGGAACCCUCAGGGACCCAGGAACUCAGCUUCCAAACAUCUGCACCUUGACCGGACUCGCCAUCCCGCCGUGGGGGUGCAGGUGAUUGUAAACACGGGUGUGCAUGUGGAUGCACAUGGGUGUGCGGUGAAGAUCUGUGGAGAUGGAGCUGGGAGCUGAGGCUCCUGUUGCACCAGCCACCUUCCCCCAUCUUGUGGCUGCUGAGGGGCAGGAAGUGGGGGAGUGGGCUCCUCUCCCAAAUUUAAGAUCACCUCCUCAGCUAGCUUAGAGUGCAUGGCACGGGCCCCCCACCCCCCAGAUCUGGAGCCCAGGGACUUUCUUCCUGGCAAAUCUGUGGCCUUCCCUGCUCAGCCUCUUGGUCCCCCACCCCCGCACUGCCUCACCUUCACUGCUGGGUCUCUGGGGCACAGUGUGAAACCCGCACCCUAGCCGGGCCCCAGGGAGCCUCCGCUGGGCCCAGACAGCAGCGUUUGGUUUUAUCUACUUUUCUUGGAUAAUCAGGAGGUGCCCCAGUGGUCACAGUGUGGCAUUCCGAGUUGCGGCGGGUGGUCAGGGGUCAAGAUAGCAGCAGCAGGUGUCAGGGCUCAAGACACCACCCCCUCCAGCUUCUGGGGCCCAGGAGCCUCUCCCUGCUGCAGGGGGUGGGGGUCCUGCUCAACAGGGUAGGUGGUGGUUUUAGGUCUUGUCACCCUCGCUUGGUGGAGCUGCCUCUGGGAGCUUUGGUGUCUGUGACUAAAGGGACGCUGGAUUGCUUAGGUCAGCUGCUCAGGGCUCCCAGGUUGGGUGUGCCUUAGCCACAGGCAGGGCUGUCAAUAACCCCCUUCCUCACUGGCCACCACCUAACAUCAGCACCAGUGACAGGCUGGUCAGAGGGCGGGGCUGGUGAGGGUUUGUUCUAAGAGGACCACCGCCAUCUCUGGGUCUCCAGGGGGAGAGCCUGGCACUGGCCCACAAACUGUCCCUGUCCUGUCUUCCUCCCGAGCCAUGGCCUCUGCUAGCUCCACCUUGAAGGAGCCCCCCACAUCCUCCCCUACAUCCCUGAGAUGCCACCACUUGUGUCUCCACAAUGUGCUCCUGCCCAACCGGGUCCCGCACUGUCCGACCCCUGCACACCACUCAUGUCACCACGGCGUGCAUCAUGUUCAUCCCCAUCUAUUUAUUUAAGCCUUUCUUUGCUUGUAGGGCAUUUUGUAUGUAGAGCAGUUGAAAACAGAACCUCAGAACUUAACAUCUGUCCUGAUGUUAAAGUGCUUUUCAUGACCACCCCGUUAUCUAUGUAUAUGUAAAGUUAAGGAUGAGAUCUUAAGUUUACAAUUAAAAACUCAGUACUCGAUAUUUAAUACUCUACUCGAGCUUUAUGGAAGCCAAAUCAUGUGCAUGCGUGUGUGUGUGCGUGUGUGCAAGCUUUGAACCUCCUUCCACAGCCGCAUCUUCUCAUGACACAAAGCUUUUGAUAAGUACUUUCCUGUGGGUCGCUCAGCGCCUCAUAGCGUCUCAUUCAGUUGCAAGAAUAGAGGCCAGACACGGUGGCGUAUGCCUGUAGUCCCAGCUAACUGGGAGGCUGAGGCAGGAGGAUCACUUGAGCCCAGGAGAUUGAGGCUGCAGUGAGCAUGAUCGUGCCACUGCACUCCAGCCUGGGUGAUGGUGAGACUUUGUCUC
rnacentral:sRNA from 1 species